UGAGUAAUACAUCGGAACGUGCCCAAUCGUGGGGGAUAACGCAGCGAAAGCUGUGCUAAUACCGCAUACGAUCUACGGAUGAAAGCAGGGGAUCGCAAGACCUUGCGCGAAUGGAGCGGCCGAUGGCAGAUUAGGUAGUUGGUGAGGUAAAGGCUCACCAAGCCUUCGAUCUGUAGCUGGUCUGAGAGGACGACCAGCCACACUGGGACUGAGACACGGCCCAGACUCCUACGGGAGGCAGCAGUGGGGAAUUUUGGACAAUGGGCGAAAGCCUGAUCCAGCCAUGCCGCGUGCAGGAUGAAGGCCUUCGGGUUGUAAACUGCUUUUGUACGGAACGAAACGGCCUUUUCUAAUAAAGAGGGCUAAUGACGGUACCGUAAGAAUAAGCACCGGCUAACUACGUGCCAGCAGCCGC
rnacentral:rRNA from 1 species